GAAUGCUGACAUAAGUAACGAUAAAGCGGGUGAAAAGCCCGCUCGCCGGAAGACCAAGGGUUCCUGUCCAACGUUAAUCGGGGCAGGGUGAGUCGACCCCUAAGGCGAGGCCGAAAGGCGUAGUCGAUGGGAAACAGGUUAAUAUUCCUGUACUUGGUGUUACUGCGAAGGGGGGACGGAGAAGGCUAUGUUAGCCGGGCGACGGUUGUCCCGGUUUAAGCAUGUAGGCUGGUUGUCCAGGCAAAUCCGGAUAAUCAAGGCUGAGGUGUGAUGACGAGGCACUACGGUGCUGAAGUAACAAAUGCCCUGCUUCCAGGAAAAGCCUCUAAGCAUCAGGUAACAUUAAAUCGUACCCCAAACCGACACAGGUGGUCAGGUAGAGAAUACCAAGGCGCUUGAGAGAACUCGGGUGAAGGAACUAGGCAAAAUGGUGCCGUAACUUCGGGAGAAGGCACGCUGGUGUGUAGGUGAAGUCCCUGCGGAUGGAGCUGAGACCAGUCGAAGAUACCAGCUGGCUGCAACUGUUUAUUAAAAACACAGCACUGUGCAAACACGAAAGUGGACGUAUACGGUGUGACGCCUGCCCGGUGCCGGAAGGUUAAUUGAUGGGGUUAUCCGUAAGGAGAAGCUCUUGAUCGAAGCCCCGGUAAACGGCGGCCGUAACUAUAACGGUCCUAAGGUAGCGAAAUUCCUUGUCGGGUAAGUUCCGACCUGCACGAAUGGCGUAAUGAUGGCCAGGCUGUCUCCACCCGAGACUCAGUGAAAUUGAACUCGCUGUGAAGAUGCAGUGUACCCGCGGCAAGACGGAAAGACCCCGUGAACCUUUACUAUAGCUUGACACUGAACAUUGAGCCUUGAUGUGUAGGAUAGGUGGGAGGCUUUGAAGCGUGGACGCCAGUCUGCGUGGAGCCAACCUUGAAAUACCACCCUUUAAUGUUUGAUGUUCUAACGUUGGCCCCUGACCGGGGUUGCGGACAGUGUCUGGUGGGUAGUUUGACUGGGGCGGUCUCCUCCUAAAGCGUAACGGAGGAGCACGAAGGUUAGCUAAUCCUGGUCGGACAUCAGGAGGUUAGUGCAAUGGCAUAAGCUAGCUUGACUGCGAGCGUGACGGCGCGAGCAGGUGCGAAAGCAGGUCAUAGUGAUCCGGUGGUUCUGAAUGGAAGGGCCAUCGCUCAACGGAUAAAAGGUACUCCGGGGAUAACAGGCUGAUACCGCCCAAGAGUUCAUAUCGACGGCGGUGUUUGGCACCUCGAUGUCGGCUCAUCACAUCCUGGGGCUGAAGUAGGUCCCAAGGGUAUGGCUGUUCGCCAUUUAAAGUGGUACGCGAGCUGGGUUUAGAACGUCGUGAGACAGUUCGGUCCCUAUCUGCCGUGGGCGCUGGAGAAUUGAGGGGGGCUGCUCCUAGUACGAGAGGACCGGAGUGGACGCAUCACUGGUGUUCGGGUUGUCAUGCCAAUGGCACUGCCCGGUAGCUAAAUGCGGAAGAGAUAAGUGCUGAAAGCAUCUAAGCACGAAACUUGCCCCGAGAUGAGUUCUCCCUGAGACUU
rnacentral:rRNA from 1 species